UAGGGAAUCUUCGGCAAUGGACGAAAGUCUGACCGAGCAACGCCGCGUGAGUGAAGAAGGUUUUCGGAUCGUAAAACUCUGUUGUUAGAGAAGAACAAGGACGUUAGUAACUGAACGUCCCCUGACGGUAUCUAACCAGAAAGCCACGGCUAACUACGUGCCAGCAGCCGCGGUAAUACGUAGGUGGCAAGCGUUGUCCGGAUUUAUUGGGCGUAAAGCGAGCGCAGGCGGUUUCUUAAGUCUGAUGUGAAAGCCCCCGGCUCAACCGGGGAGUGUCAUUGGAAACUGGGAGACUUGAGUGCAGAAGAGGAGAGUGGAAUUCCAUGUGUAGCGGUGAAAUGCGUAGAUAUAUGGAGGAACACCAGUGGCGAAGGCGGCUCUCUGGUCUGUAACUGACGCUGAGGCGCGAAAGAGUGGGGAGCAAACAGG
rnacentral:rRNA from 1 species